CAGAGGGUGCAAACGUUGUUCGGAAUUACUGGGCGUAAAGCGCGUGUAGGUGGCAAGGCAAGUCGGGUGUGAAAGCCCUGGGCUCAACCCAGGAAGUGCACUCGAUACUGCCUCGCUAGAGUCCCGGAGAGGUUGGUGGAACUCUCGGUGUAGAGGUGAAAUUCGUAGAUAUCGAGAAGAACACCGGUGGCGAAGGCGGCCAACUGGACGGUGACUGACACUGAGACGCGAAAGCGUGGGGAGCAAACAGGAUUAGAUACCCUGGUAGUCCACGCCGUAAACGAUGGGUGCUAGGUGUCACGGGUAUUGACCCCUGUGGCGCCGUAGCUAACGCAUUAAGCACCCCGCCUGGGAAGCACGGCCGCAAGGCUA
rnacentral:rRNA from 1 species